UUUCAGUGACUUUUGAUUGCUGGGGUUGUACCAAACCUGGUCAUAUUUUUGUGUGAACUUUGUAGCAGUCUGCGAUUGUAGACUGUGCUCUGUAAUUACACCAAGAAGAUUUUUAACAACUGAAUUCAAAUCAAUAUUUCCUUGCUGUCACAUAACUCUUUUGUAGGAGAAUCUUGUAAAAGAGCACUCUGGCAGUGUGAUUCCUGACAGUGAAAAGAAACACAAGACAUGUGUUAUAAAGACUCCUCCAAUGGAUAAAAUGCAGAGUGGAAGAAGCACAAACCUGCCUGCAGGGCAGAGCAGCAGGAAAAAGCAGAAAGUGCUUGUGCAGCUGGACACUGAGUCAGACAGCUCUGAGCACACUGACCUCCUGAGCCCAGCUCCAUGCAGUGUGAAAUCUCCAGGCUCUGCUCUGAAACUCAAAACCAUGAGGAGGAUGCGCGAGGCGGGCUGGACUGCGCUCUCCAAAAUGGACAGGAAAAGGAAAAUUAAAGAUGCUGUAAAGAUGCUGUAAAGAUGCUCUUUGCUUAAAAUCCAGAAAUGCCCAGUGCCCUGGCAUUGCUUGCAGGGCUGUUUUUCUCUCAGAGUUGGUGCUUUGUUGCAUUUUUCUGUCAUACUCAGUGUGUUUAAUACUGUGUUCAUUCCUUUACACAUAUAAACUUUAGAGAUCUAUAACUGCAACCCCUGCAGAGCAUCUUCCACCUUUCCUCCCUUGUGCUUCAAAAUGUUGGGACACAAAUUAGCCAAUUUUAAAUUUGGAAAUAAAUAGAACUACACAGAAAGUUGUUUCAAAGCUGCUUCUGGCUUAGAAAUUAGAAAUUCUGGUUUCAAAGAACUUCUGUUCUUUUACAUUUACUCUGUUUUCCUUAACAUAUAACUACUUAGUGGAAGAAAUGUAGCUGUUAAAUGAAUGUUCUUUUACCUGAAGUCCUCUUGCUUUUUCCUGCAUUUUAAUGGCUGUUAGACCUGUCUUUUUAGACUGUUUUGUUUUCAGUAUGUUAAAAUGGUUUCGAAACUUCUAAAAUUUCAGUAGAAUUACUUGUAUUUAAAAAGAUUUCAGCUUCACAAGGAGUAAAAUAUGCACGUUAUAAGAUUGUGAAACCAAUGUGAAGAUGCCAUUAAAUUGUUUAUCUGAAAUAUAAA